UGGCGGCGGAGGCGGCGGCGGAGACGAUCGGGGAACCGCGAGGCUUCUGGGUAAUAUUGCUUUGGCUAUUGGGUUAACUUACCUUUCGGUGACAGGGCAACUUGGCUGGAUUUUGGAUGCCAUUGUUUCCAUUUGGCUUGUUGCAGUUCUUGUACCAAUUGUUGGAGUUGCCGCUUUUUUAUGGUGGGCAGGACGAGAUAUAGUUCAAAG
rnacentral:misc_RNA from 1 species